rnacentral:rRNA from 1 species
AAUACGCUAUAUGAGAGCUUUUGCAUCCUAUUAGCUAGUUGGUGGGGUAAAAGCCCUACCAAGGCGAUGAUAGGGUAGCCGGCCUGAGAGGGUGGACGGCACAAGGGGACUGAGAUACGGCCCUUACUCCUACGGGAGGCAGCAGUGGGGAAUAUUGGACAAUGGAGGCAACUCUGAUCCAGCAAUUCUGUGUGUGUGAAGAAGGUUUUAGGACUGUAAAACACUUUUAGUAGGGAAGAAAGAAAUGACGGUACCUACAGAAGAAGCGACGGCUAAAUACGUGCCAGCAGCCGCGGUAAU